CAAGAGGCGAGAAAACUAGCGUUAAAUUAAUUUGUAAUGCCAAACUGUUUACGUCUCGGCCAAAAACAAUUACAAUUACAAUUACAUCAAUCAAUUUACAAUGAACUACAUUCAGUAAACUUCGAGGAAAAGACAAAGAUUAUAAGUCCAGCCUCAAAAAACACACAUACGACGAAUCCACAUUCAGCAAUUGGCCAUACCCUUUGAACGAGAACGAAGAGAACGCUAGCAAAGAGACUCAAAAUCCUCCAGAGAACGCCGGAUCAGCGAAACCAUCGACGGGCACUGCCGGUGAAGCAAUGGACGAGUCAUCAGCGGACGCGGACACGGAUGGUGGAGACGGAACGACCACCCCCAUCAUGCUACCCGCACCGAGACCGAGAAAGCACCGCUCGAUAUCGAUGCGAUCGACAUUAUUUGCGAAGAGUGUCAAGAAAAUAAUGACGCGAUGGACGAGCAACGAGCACCAGAAAUCGCAGAAUUCGACAACGAAGCGGAAGCAAUUGGUUCCGGCGAAGAAUUCAUGUGGGUUUCCAUUAGUAAGCAAAAGGAAAAUGAGGUAAAAAUGAGCUAUAUGCAUAAGCAAAUAGAGCAAAUGACCCAACAAUUGCAGGUCUUGCCGCUUGAAAAUAGUUCAUGGAGACAAUCCCUGCAUCUGUUGUCCUCAUCUUCUAUACAACAGCAAGUGUUCCCGUCCCAGGUAUCCCAAAGAUACCUGGGUAAAGAUUAUACUAGGCAACUAGGCAACUUUUUGAGCGAAGAAUAUGAUACGACUCAGACACUGGCGUACAAAAUGCUCUCGGCCGAGUUUUUAAACCAAUGAACGUUUCGGAAAAACGGGCAAAAACAUAUCUUAAAGCAAAUCGCAAAUGGAGCCCUGACAAAAAUGCCAUUGCACAAUGUCAUGCUGCAUUCAACUAUAUUACGAUCGAAGAUUUUGAAAAGAUCAUGCAGAAAGUUGUCAGUUGUCAUGACCGAUAAUGAUAAGAAGACAGCCAUAUGAUGAAAUAUUAGGUUAGGUUAAAAAGAUGAUAUUAUUUAUAACAAUAGGUAAUGCAUUGCCUGUUUUCGAGUGUGUUAUUAAGGUUUUCGAUAUUGUCCAACAGUCAAAGAAUACAAUUAUUUUCGACACAUAGCAGCGUGUUCACCCUUUAAUCCCUUCAAUACACUUUCCUCUA